CUGCGGGAUGCUGCAGUGAGGAAUAUUGCACAAUGGGGGGAACCCUGAUGCAGCAACGCCGCGUGGAGGAUGACGCAUUUCGGUGUGUAAACUCCUUUUAUAUGUCAAGAAAAUGACGGUAGCAUAUGAAUAAGCACCGGCUAACUCCGUGCCAGCAGCCGCGGUAAUACGGAGGGGUGCAAGCGUUACUCGGAAUCACUGGGCGUAAAGGACGCGUAGGCGGGUUGGAAAGUCAGGUGUGAAAUCCUACAGCUUAACUGUAGAACUGCACUUGAAACUUCUAAUCUAGAGUAUGGGAGGGGGAGAUGGAAUUAGUGGUGUAGGGGUAAAAUCCGUAGAUAUCACUAGGAAUACCUAAAGCGAAGGCGAUCUCCUGGAACAUUACUGACGCUAAGGCGUGAAAGCGUGGGGAGCAAACAGGAUUAGAUACCCCCGUAGUC
rnacentral:rRNA from 1 species